UGUAGAGGAAUACAGUCUAAGUUCGCGACUUCGUGUCACAACGACUGUAUGACCCACUUCGUGUGGG
rnacentral:sRNA from 1 species